ACCACCACAAGUAUUAGGUUUCCAAAGCAAAGCCAUGAACUUGGGGGCUUAUGGUUCCUUUAUAUCAAAUCAAUUCAUGUAUGUUAAGUAGUUUCAAAUUUUAAAGCACUAUGUAUAAGUAAAUUAUUACUAUUAUUAUUUCUUGGAAAGGAAAGUCCUCCCAUGAUGCUAACCACAGAAGAUUGCUUUCAUAUGAGCACGUUUCAUGGAGACAGAGAAUUCAAGGAAUAUGGAGCUGACAAUCAAAUCAAUGUUUCCAACCAUUCCUGCUGACAAGAACAUGACAAUCAACAGCCCAGACAUUCUACUCACAGUUCUUGAAUAUCCUUUUUUUCCCCUGAAGAAUUAUAUUCAGUUUUGCUGAGCCAUCUCUUAUAACAAAAGAGAAAAAAUAAAGAAGAAAACAAGCAGCUCAGCACAACUAUUCAACACUGCAAUCAUAUCUGACAGCAUAUGCAGUGUUCCACAUCCGUAGUCCCCUACCUCUGCA